rnacentral:rRNA from 1 species
CCUACGGGUGGCAGCAGUGAGGAAUAUUGGUCAAUGGACGCAAGUCUGAACCAGCCAUGCCGCGUGCAGGAAGACGGCCCUAUGAGUUGUAAACUGCUUUUGUACGAGGGUAAACGCAGAUACGCGUAUCUUUCUGAAAGUAUCGUACGAAUAAGGAUCGGCUAACUCCGUGCCAGCAGCCGCGGUAAUACGGAGGAUUCAAGCGUUAUCCGGAUUUAUUGGGUUUAAAGGGUGCGUAGGCGGUCGGAUAAGUUAGAGGUGAAAUCCCGAGGCUCAACUUUGGAAUUGCCUCUGAUACUGUUCGGCUAGAGAAUAGUUGCGGUAGGUGGAAUGUGUGGUGUAGCGGUGAAAUGCUUAGAGAUCAUACAGAACACCGAUUGCGAAGGCAGCUUACCAAGCUACUUCUGACAUUGAGGCACGAAAGCGUGGGGAGCAAACAGGAUUAGAUACCCUUGUAGUC